AUUGAACGCUGGCGGCAGGCCUAACACAUGCAAGUCGAACGAGUGGCGGACGGGUGAGUAAUGUCUGGGAAACUGCCCGAUGGAGGGGGAUAACUACUGGAAACGGUAGCUAAUACCGCAUACCAUCGGAUGUGCCCAUAUGGGAUUAGCUAGUUGGUGGGGUAACGGCUCACCAAGGCGACGAUCCCUAGCUGGUUUGAGAGGAUGACCAGCCACACUGGAACUGAGACACGGUCCAGACUCCUACGGGAGGCAGCAGUGGGGAAUAUUGCACAAUGGGCGCAACCCUGAUGCAGCCAUGCCGCGUGUAUGAAGAAGGCCUUCGGGUUGUAAAGUACUUUCAGCGGGGAGGCGUUACUCGCAGAAGAAGCACCGGCUAACUCCGUGCCAGCCGCCGCGGUAAUUC
rnacentral:rRNA from 1 species